GGGGAGUUAGCGCAGUUGGUAGCGCGUCGCGAUCGCACCGCGAAGGCCAGGAGUUCGAAUCUCCUACUCUCCA
rnacentral:tRNA from 4 species